ensembl:snRNA U6 U6 spliceosomal RNA
GUGCUCGCUUCGACAGCACAUAUACUAAAAUUGGAACGAUAUAGAGAAGAUUAGCAUGGCCCCUGUGCAAGGGUGACACGCAAAUUAGGAAGAGUUCAUAUUUUUA